GGUGGCUCAUUGGUAGAGCGCUUGCCUUGCAUGCAUGAGGCUGUGGGUUCGAUUCCUCAGCACCA
rnacentral:tRNA from 1 species